rnacentral:lncRNA from 1 species
GGCAACUCAUCAUUAAGCUUUGUAUAUGAUUAUGGUACAUGCCAACAAAAGAAGAAGGAGAAGAAGAAGAAGAAGAAGAAGAAGAAGAUUGAUGAUAAUGAUAAAGAUAAAGAUAAAGAUAAAGAAAAGAAUCAUUCAAAAAUUGGUUUAGAACUGAAACUUCACCAAUGAGCAACGAAGCAUUUCCCUUUGUCUCUCUACUUGAUAAAGACUCCUCCUCCUCCUGUGCCCCAUUCAUAUAUAAUGCUGUUGAUGAUAGAACAAUAAUAGCCCCAUUU